GUACUGUACGAAUAAGCAUCGGCUAACUCCGUGCCAGCAGCCGCGGUAAUACGGAGGAUGCAAGCGUUAUCCGGAUUUAUUGGGUUUAAAGGGUGCGUAGGCGGGGUAGCAAGUCAGUGGUGAAAGUCUGCAGCUUAACUGUAGAAUUGCCGUUGAUACUGUUACUCUUGAAUUCAGUUGAGGUAGGCGGAAUGUGUAAUGUAGCGGUGAAAUGCAUAGAUAUUACACAGAACACCGAUUGCGUAGGCAGCUUGCUAAACUGAGAUUGACGCUGAGGCACGAAAGCGUGGGGAGCAAACAGGAUUAGAUACCCUGGUAGUCCACGCCGUAAACGAUGAUUACUGGAUGUGUGCGAUACACUGUACGCGUCUGAGCGAAAGCAUUAAGUAAUCCACCUGGGGAGUACGAUCGCAAGAUUGAAACUCAAAGGAAUUGACGGGGGCCCGCACAAGCGGAGGAACAUGUGGUUUAAUUCGAUGAUACGCGAGGAACCUUACCUGGGCUUAAAUGCAGAUUGACUUACCGGGAAACUGGUAUUCCCUUCGGGGCAAUUUGCAAGGUGCUGCAUGGUUGUCGUCAGCUCGUGCCGUGAGGUGUCGGGUUAAGUCCCAUAACGAGCGCAACCCCUAUUGUUAGUUGCCAGCGGUUAAAGCCGGGGACUCUAACGAAACUGCCAGUGUAAACUGUGAGGAAGGUGGGGAUGACGUCAAAUCAGCACGGCCCUUACGUCCAGGGCUACACACGUGUUACAAUGGUCGGUACAGAGGGCAGCUACCUGGUGACAGGAUGCUAAUCCCGAAAGCCGGUCUUAGUUCGGAUCGAAGUCUGCAACUCGACUUCGUGAAGCUGGAUUCGCUAGUAAUCGCGCAUCAGCCAUGGCGCGGUGAAUACGUUCCCGGGCCUUGUACACACCGCCCGUCAAGCCAUGGAAGCCGGGGGUGCCUGAAGUCCGUAACCGCGAGGAUCGGCCUAGGGUAAAACUGGUGACUGGGGCUAAGUCGUAACAAGGUAGCCGUACCGGAAGGUGUGGCUG
rnacentral:rRNA from 1 species